rnacentral:sRNA from 1 species
AGCCGCGGCCCCAGCAAGCCCAGGUAGGCGGGAGUGGCCCGUGGCUGCUCUCAACAUCCGGAGCGGACUCCGGGCGGGGAGCGCUCCUGCCCAGGGCUGCGAGCCGCCCGCGACCCAGGGCGCUCGGGGCAGGGGCGGGGAAAGAAGGGGCGCCCCGUCACUUGCCCCCUCUGCAGACCAAGGCCACGUCCCAGAUCCUGGAGAAUGGGGAGGAGGCCCCGGGGCCCGACCCCUCUCUCGACCGCAUGCUCAGCAGCAGCUCCUCGGUGUCCAGCCUUAACUCCUCCACGCUGAGCGGCAGCCAGAUGAGCCUGUCAGGCGACGCGGAGGCGGUGCAGGUCCGCGGCUCCGUGCACUUCGCGCUGCACUACGAGCCGGGCGCCGCCGAGCUGCGCGUGCACGUGAUCCAGUGCCAGGGCCUGGCCGCCGCCCGGCGCCGCCGCUCGGACCCCUACGUCAAAAGCUACCUCCUCCCGGAUAAGCAGAGCAAGCGCAAGACGGCGGUGAAGAAACGGAAUCUGAAUCCGGUUUUCAACGAGACUCUCCGGUACUCUGUCCCGCAGGCCGAGCUUCAGGGCCGCGUGCUGAGCCUGUCUGUGUGGCACCGCGAAAGCCUGGGUCGCAACAUCUUUCUGGGUGAAAUUGAAGUGCCCCUGGACACGUGGGACUGGGGCUCUGAGCCCACCUGGCUCCCCCUGCAGCCCCGGGUCCCACCCUCUCCCGACGACCUUCCGAGCCGCGGGUUACUCGCCCUGUCCCUCAAGUACGUCCCCGCCGGCUCCGAGGGCGCAGGACUGCCCCCGAGCGGGGAGCUGCACUUCUGGGUGAAGGAGGCUCGGGACCUCCUGCCGCUGCGGGCAGGAUCCCUGGACACUU